CCGCCCGUAGUUCAACUGGAUAGAACAACUGCCUCCUACGCAGUACGCCAUCGACGGCCCUGGUUGCUGGUUCGAGUCCAGCCGGGCGGACCA
rnacentral:tRNA from 1 species